ensembl:lncRNA
CUGCAGUCUGCUUUGCAAAAAAGAGACACAGAUUUUUCAGUUUCCAAGCUGCUUUAGCAUUGUUUCCCAAGUUAUUCUCUCUAUUUGUAGACUUUGAAAGCUGGGCUGGGUGCAGUAGGAGACUGGUCUGGCCGUGAGUGUUUCAGAGCUUGCAUGGUAGGAGUCCUCCACUGUGCUGGCAGGCAAGGAACAGGGACAGGCAUUCCGAAGCUUUACUGUGCAUGAUCUGCUAUAAAAUUAAAAAAAAAAAAACAACAUCCACAAUGGAACAGUGUGGGUUCCAGUGUAGGUCACAGGGUGGUGACGCACUGAACAGGUUGCCCAAGGAGGCUGUGGAUGCCCCAUCCCUGGAGGCAUUCAAGGCCAGGCUGGAUGUGGCUCUGGGCAGCCUGGUCUGCUGGUUGGCGACCCUGCACAUAGCAGGGGGUUGAAACAAGAUGAUCAUUGUGGUCCUUUUCAACCCAGGCCAGUCUAUAAUUCUAUGAUACUUUGUGAGAAUCUCUGUUAAAUACCAGUAUAAAUGCACUUGUAAGACCUGGAUUGUCUUGCUCCAAGAGGGUCAUGGCUUGCCUGCAGCCUAGCAGGUUUCCUGCAAUGCAUCUCUGCUCAGCCAGUGGGGCAUUCAGGAGCAGUGCACUGAAGCAGCCUGCUCAAGGCCAAACAAUGAACUGAUGUUGUAGCAGAUGUAAGACCAGGAGGUAAACCAUUUGCUUGUCCUUCUCCUGUUUUGCUGUUCAUUUCAUGGCAGAGGGAAGAUGUGUUUAGAGAUAGAGGGGGCAAUAAAGGAUCAUUCUUUGCUGAUGUGCAGAGAAAUCUCAGUGCCCGAAGGAGUUGCACUGCAGUGCACAGUCCCUGCACUGUACCUAUUCCUUGGAACUCCUCUCAAAGGAAGCACCUGCUUUGGACACAUGUCCAAGGUGGCUUGUUCUUAAGGACAGCAUAUUGUUUCCCCUUCUGAAUGUAAUUGAAUUCAGCCCUGACAAAGCUAAAUGAAGUGGUUGCUGUUGCUGCCAAAUGUGAUUAAGAACAGAAAGCUCUCUGAGUAAAGCGAAAGUGAAACCCCAGGAGUUCUUAAUUCUCUUGAUUUCUGACAAAUUUGUGGAAAGCUGGCUCUCUAAUCCUCAGGCAGUUCUGCUUGGAUCCCUCUGCACUGUCGAACUCCUGCUAUGCCUGUGUCACAUGUAGAUCAGACAGGAAGGUCAGUGAGCAGAUCAUGCAGUCUCUACAUGCCCUGAGUUAGUGGCCUCAUAGAGAAUAAAUACACGUUUGGCUGGUUCCAAACUGAAUCACUUGGGUCCAAGGGAGGCAGUCCAUAAUGAUGCACUGUUUGCUUGGUUGAUGCUCUGCAUUUGUCUCCAACUUGCAGGGCUCAUGGUAAAUUCUUAGCUCAGUAGUGGGUUUUGUGUCUGUCAGUGGAUGGUUGGACUAGAUGAUCUAAGAGGCCUUUUCCAACCUUACUGAUUCUAUGAUUCUUUGAUUGCAUUUCUAUUUUGUGCUGACAGGGAGAAUGUCUAUGUCUGUGUCUGUGUUACAAGGCUGAGCAGCCAUGUUCCUGGACCUUGAAGAGCACUCAGGCAUCAGCCUCUUCAAGUUGUUGCCUGGAGGGAUUAUGCCUUUGAAGAUAUGGCAUGAAGAGAUAGAAGCUUGAACUGAAAAACUUCUGGAACACCUCCAGGGACGGUGACCCCACCACCUCUCCGGCCAUGAAGCUCAAAGCUGUUUCUUUGGGCUGAAGAUUUUAGCUGUGAUUCAGUGAUGCACAUGUGAGGACCUGCCUUAUUCCAGAUUUGGGCACCUGUCCCGGGUGCACGUUGAGAAGGUGUGACUGAUAAAGACAAUUACUGCUGGACAGUGGCAUCUUAGCAAGCACAGAAUCACAGCUUGUGCAUUUUUGUCCUUAUACAACUCUGUGAAAUGUGACAGUGCCAAGAAGUUGCAUCUGGUUUAUACCAAGGAAGCUAAAGAGGUGACUUGAUCACUGCCUUCAAGUACAAGCUUUGUCUGCAGGGGGGCUGUCUGUUUCUAAUACUUGGUGCUGCAGAUUGGCAGGUGAGGUGAUAUGGAAGGGAAUGCUCAGCAGCCCUACCCAGCCACAACUAGAGGAGUCAGAACUGAACAGCUCCAGAAGCCAACUGCUCUGUGGUCUUAUCCACUGAGAUGUGCCACGGUCAGCUUGUUCUCCCUCUGCCUCAGAUCUACUGCAAAUGGAACCAUUUGGAAUGCAGCCUAAAUCCCACUGGAGCAAUUGGGAUGCAGAUGGCAAGGAAAGCUGAAGGGCAUUUGGAUACAUGCUGUCCCAUGGAUGUCUAAAUGGGAGAGAAGGUCUUCUAGAAGCACAUGAAGGACCCUAGAGGAGACAAGUGUUGGGAAAAAAAACAUGUCAGAACAUCUGAAAUGCCUCCUUCAUUGUCCCAGCUUUGGGAGCACUUACUUAACCUAUAUCAGCAUGACUCAAAACAACAUCAAUGUUUGUCUCUGGAGUGAAAAGAAAUAAUGUGCUUUGUUCAGCUGCUUCCUAUUCAAAGAGAAAUCACACUGGGAAGCAGAAGUUGCUGUAAAGGGGAGAGGUUCUGCAACUGACUCACUGGAAAAGGGGGAGAACAGUGCACAAAAGAACCUGCGGAUAUCCUGGUGGAUUUCAGAACCGUGGCCAGCAGCCAGAGAGGUUCCGCGCAUGGUGCUGGGCUCUCUGAGGGAUUAAUUCGCGUCUCUUGGUUACUGACGAUGGCAUUCAGGUCUCUGGUGUGACUGUAUAAAUUCCCUGCAGGCCUGAAAAAAUGGAGAAAUGACUCCCUCAAGACAUUUUCCUAACCCAGAAAUACAGCAGAGUCAGAAGCAACAAAAGAAAACAGAUUCUGCCUUGUUCUAACAAAGUUUUGCC